AGGGCCUGGAGAGAUCCGUGCCCAGCACAGGCUGAGGGAGCCGGGGCUGCUCAGCCUCGAGAGGAGCCCCAGCUGAGAGGGGCCCUCAGCCCUGGUUGUCCCUGGCUGCAGGGAGGGCUCAGGGCAGGGCCCGGGCUCUGCUCCGGGGCCCGGCAGCGGCCCCAGAGCACCGGGCAGGGCCUGAGCCCGGCAAUUGCCCUGCACAGGAGGCAGAACUGCUGCCCUGGGCAGGGCCCAGCCCUGAGCAGAGCCCAGAGCGGCUGUGGAGUCUCCUCCCUGGGGACAUCCCAGCCCCAUCUGGCCACAAUCCCGCGCCCUGUGCUGCCGGAGCAGGGAGGCGGGAGCAGACGUGACCCCUCCCAACCUGACCCAUCCUGGCACUGUGAUUUAAUUUGUCCGUUUCCAAAAACCCGGCGACAAAUCGCGAGCAGCUUUUGGGCCGCCCACGCCAAGCGCGGCGCGGAGGAGCCGGACGGGGCGAUCGAACACCCAACGCCGCGGGCCACGCCCCCUCCGGCCACGCCCACGCGACCGCGCCCUCCCUGGCCACGCCUCCCGUGUCCCUCCGCGCCUCCCGUAGCGGCCGCGUCAUCGCGGGGCUGCGGCGGCGCCGGCGGCGGGGCGGGACCGGCCCCGGUGGGCCCGGUGAGUGCGGGGGCGCCGCGGCCCCCUCGGCGACCGCGCGAUGCCCUCAGGGGCACGGCCGCGCCCUCCCGCUUCCCCCUGGGGUCGCGCCCAAGCGGCCGCGCUGCUCCGGCCCCGAGUGUAGCCAGGAAUGGGGAACGGAGCCCGCGGGCAGCACGUGGGAGGCACCGGGGGGGCCGGGCCGCGCUCGGCCCGCAGCAGCCGGGGGGUUGUUUUUAUUUAGUCUGGAGAGCCGAGGUGUUCUGGUCGUUGAUGGAUGGCUGCAAAUGCGGCUUUGGGGUUGUCUGCGGAGUUUUUGGUGGUAAACUACAGAAAUCCAGGCUUGUUCUUCCCGCAGCGCCCCGGGAGCUCCGUGGUUGUGCUGAACCUGCCCCACGGGAGCGGCCGCGGUUUGCAGCUCCUCUCCCGGGGACAGAGCCCCGGAGCUGCGCUGGUCAUUCGGGGGUGCCCAAAAUUAACGGCAGGUUUUGA
rnacentral:lncRNA from 13 species